CUGGUGCCAGCAGCCGCGGUAAUUCCAGCUCCAAUAGCGUAUAUUAAACUUGUUGCAGUUAAAAAGCUCGUAGUUGAAUUUCUGCGUUAUCGAGUUAUUGACUCUUGUCUUUAAUCGAUUUCGCUUUUGGGAUUUAUCCCUUUUUACUUUGAGAAAAUUAGAGUGUUUCAAGCAGACUUUUGUCUUGAAUACUUCAGCAUGGAAUAAUAGAGUAGGACUUUGGUUCUAUUUUGUUGGUUUUUGAACCUUAGUAAUGGUUAAUAGGAACGGUUGGGGGCAUUCGUAUUUAACUGUCAGAGGUGAAAUUCUUAGAUUUGUUAAAGACGAACUACUGCGAAAGCAUUUGCCAAGGACGUUUCCAUUAAUCAAGAACGAAAGUUAGGGGAUCGAAGACGAUCAGAUACCGUCGUAGUCCUA
rnacentral:rRNA from 1 species